rnacentral:rRNA from 1 species
AUUGAACGCUAGCGGGAUGCUUUACACAUGCAAGUCGAACGACAGCGCGGAGUUCGGCCUGGCUGGGAUCGCCCAUCGGGUGAGUGAUGUAUCGGACCGUUCCCACUAGCGGGGGAUAACUACCCGACAGCCUCGCUAAUACCGCUUCCGCCCUGCGUGAAACAACAGGGCAUCUUCAUACCUUGUCCUAUUAGAGCGGCCGUUAGCGGAGUGGCUAAUUGGUGAGGUAACUGCUCACCAAGGCGACGAUCCGUAGCUGGUUUCAGAGGCAGAACAGCCACACUGGGACUGAGACACGGUCCAGACUCCUAAGGGAGGCAGCAGUGGGGAAUUUUGGACAAUGGAGGAAACCCUGAGCCAGCCCUCCCGCGUGUGCGAUGAAGGCCUUCGGGUUGUAAAGCAAUUUUGGAAGGAAAGAAACGUAGCGGGCUAAUACCGCGUGGAACUGACGGUACCUGCAGAAAAAGCACCGGCUAACUACGUG